UAGAAUUUAGUAUUUUUGAAUUAACAUAUUUUAUUUUACAUUUGAAUUUACAUAUUUUAUUUUAAUUCAAAUAAAAAUUUGAAAAUAUUUUUUUACAACAGCUUCCAUAAAAAUGAAUACAUCUACAAAAGAGUGUACAAAAAAACAGCUUGAGGAGGCUCUUUCAAAAUGGUUUGGUAAUGCUCGUGACAGAGAAUGACUUCUGAAAGAUCUAAACGUAGAAAAAUAGCUGAAGUGGUAUCAAAACUUUUUCAAGAAUCUUCAACUUUAAAUAUACAGAAUCAGGAUGUUUAUCCAUAUAGUAGCAAUAUGUUUUUUGAUUCUUCAUAUUUACAUGGAAUAAGAGAACAAGUUGACAGUAAUUUGGAACCUAACGAAUUUUUAACUAAUUCUAAUUAUUCUAAUAAUAGUUUAGCUGUUAUGGAGACUGAAAUUAGCGAAAUUGAAAAUAACAAAAACAAUAUUGAAUUACUUACAGAUGAUAGUAAUGAAUGGUCUCCUGAGUCAUUUAUUUCUGAUGAUUAUAAGAGUGAUGAAAGUAAUGACAGCGAAAAAUUGCCUCAUAAACUUGCUAAUCGGGCAUUAAGCUUCAAUAUAACACAUGCUGCUUUGAACAGUUUGUUACCUUUAUUAAGAGAAUAUGGGUUAAGUUUGCCUAAAGAUUCAAGAACACUUCUUCACACCCCCCAAAAUAUAGAUACAAAAAUUGUCGCGGGCGGAGAGUAUUACUAUUUCAGCAUGCAGUAUUGGCUUUUAAUAAUGUUUAAAAACAAUUCAAUAGAAUCAAACAACAACCAACUUACCAUUCACAUUAACAUUGAUGGUAUACCUAUAUUCACCAGUUCCAGUACUUCUCUUUGGCCAAUUUUAGGUACUCUUAUUGAAGCUGGAGCAAUAGUAUUUCCAAUAGCAAUUUAUUGUGGUGACAAAAAACCAAAUUCUAUUCAUGAAUAUCUAGAAGAUUUUUUGGUUGAGAUUAAAGCUCUUACUGAAAAUGGUUUUACCCAUGAAAAUGUAAAGUAUGAUGUAAAGCUUGCUGCAAUUAUAUGUGAUGCACCAGCAAGAGCAUUUGUGAAAUGUAUAAAGGGCCACAAUGGUUAUAAUUGUUGUGAGCGUUGUGUUCAAAAAGGAGAGUGGUGUGGCAAAAUAAUCCUUCCGCAUACAUCAGCAACUUUAAGGACUGAUUCAGAUUUUCGUUAUCAAAAUAGUUUGGAACAUCAUAUUGGUGUGUCUCCUUUAAUUGAGUUGGGUUUUGACAUGAUAUCAAAAUUUCCUUUAGAUUACAUGCACCUAGUAUGUCUAGGGGUUGUGCGAAGAAUCAUCAACUUAUGGUUAAAUGGUCCCAGAUCAUGUUCACAUUGGCUGUUGGCAAUAUUUGUCUAGUGGUGUGAGUUGACUACAGAACGACUCCAAUUUUAGUUUAUGACUCCAAUUAAAUAAACUCCUUUAAUGGCAGGUUUUAUUGAAAAAGAUAUUGUAUGAAGAAAAAAGUGCUUAAAGAAGUGGUUUUCACAAAGAUUUUAAUUCAUGAUUACGAUACGAUUCACGAAUAAAGAAUAAAAAUGUAAUUUUAAUGUGCUUUUUGUUUGAAAUAAAUAAGCAUAUA
rnacentral:misc_RNA from 1 species